AGUGGCAAGUGAUGAGGCAUUAUUUAUAUGCUAAACACUGAAUUAUAUGUGGACUAAAAACUCCGCUUAUUAUCUGAUGCCACU